rnacentral:rRNA from 1 species
UCAGGAUGAACGCUGGCGGCGUGCUUAACACAUGCAAGUCGAACGAGCCUUCGGGCUAGUGGCGGACGGGUGAGUAACGCGUGAGAAUCUGCCCUCAGGAGGGGGAUAACGGCUGGAAACGGCCGCUAAUACCCCAUAUGCCGCGAGGUGAAAUGAGAAAUCGCCUGAGGAUGAGCUCGCGUCUGAUUAGCUAGUUGGUGGGGUAAGAGCCUACCAAGGCAUCGAUCAGUAGCUGGUCUGAGAGGAUGAUCAGCCACACUGGGACUGAGACACGGCCCAGACUCCUACGGGAGGCAGCAGUGGGGAAUUUUCCGCAAUGGGCGCAAGCCUGACGGAGCAACGCCGCGUGAGGGAUGAAGGCCUCUGGGCUGUAAACCUCUUUUCUCAAGGAAGAAGAACUGACGGUACUUGAGGAAUAAGCCACGGCUAAUUCCGUGCCAGCAGCCGCGGUAAUACGGGAGUGGCAAGCGUUAUCCGGAAUUAUUGGGCGUAAAGCGUCCGCAGGCGGUCUUGAAAGUCUGUUGUUAAAGCGNGGAGCUCAACUCCAUUUCAGCAAUGGAAACUAGAAGACUAGAGUGUGGUAGGGGCAGAGGGAAUUCCCGGUGUAGCGGUGAAAUGCGUAGAUAUCGGGAAGAACACCAGUGGCGAAGGCGCUCUGCUGGGCCAUAACUGACGCUCAUGGACGAAAGCCAGGGGAGCGAAAGGGAUUAGAUACCCCUGUAGUCCUGGCCGUAAACGAUGAACACUAGGUGUCGGGGGAAUCGACCCCCUCGGUGUCGUAGCCAACGCGUUAAGUGUUCCGCCUGGGGAGUACGCACGCAAGUGUGAAACUCAAAGGAAUUGACGGGGGCCCGCACAAGCGGUGGAGUAUGUGGUUUAAUUCGAUGCAACGCGAAGAACCUUACCAGGGUUUGACAUCCUGCGAAUCUUUUGGAAACAGAAGAGUGCCUUCGGGAGCGCAGAGACAGGUGGUGCAUGGCUGUCGUCAGCUCGUGUCGUGAGAUGUUGGGUUAAGUCCCGCAACGAGCGCAACCCACGUCUUUAGUUGCCAGCAUUGAGUUGGGCACUCUAGAGAGACCGCCGGUGAUAAACCGGAGGAAGGUGUGGAUGACGUCAAGUCAUCAUGCCCCUUACAUCCUGGGCUACACACGUACUACAAUGCUACGGACAGAGGGCAGCAAACUCGCGAGAGCUAGCAAAUCCCAUAAACCGUGGCUCAGUUCAGAUCGUAGGCUGCAACUCGCCUACGUGAAGGAGGAAUCGCUAGUAAUCGCAGGUCAGCAUACUGCGGUGAAUACGUUCCCGGGCCUUGUACACACCGCCCGUCACACCAUGGAAGUUGGCCAUGCCCGAAGUCGUUACUCCAACCCUUGUGGAGGAGGACGCCGAAGGUGGGGCUGAUGACUGGGGUGAAGUCGUAACAAGGUAACCGUA